GGAGAACAAACCCAUGCUAGUUUUAGGUGUCUCUGGCCUAGCAGGCAGACGUGGUGUAAGAUGCAGGGACUGCAGGUUGAAGCUCUGUGAUGGCAGAGUGGGGCAAAAGCGAAAAGAGCCAGGAUAACCAGAGUCCCAGCUUGGAACAGUGUCCUGAAAACCAGGAGGAGCCUCCUGCCCUUGUGGGUUUUUUAAAACAAGAGAUAAGCCGUUUAGCAGCUCACAGCCCGUGUGGAGGCAGCUGCCUCGGAUCAGCGUGGCCGUGUCUUCUGCAAGAUGUGAAGAACCGUGUCCUUGUCCGGAAGGUGUUUCCCCAUCACCGCGGAGAAAACGCCUUUGAAUCAGCAGCAAAUCCUAGAGGCAUCGAACGAUCGCUGGAGAGGACUCCUCACAUCCAUAACCAAGGGGGUGAAAAGGCUUCGCCCCCAGCCCGGCGCCGUUCUCUGCGCACCCCCAGCCCGCGGGCUUGUCUCGCCCGCCAGGGACCCCACGCGUGGAUCCCCGCGGCCCCUCUGGUUCCUCACCAUGUACUGCGGUCGGGAGGGACGAUCCGGACGCCGCCGGCGCCAUCUAGUGCCACCGGGAGCGGGUGUUCCGCAGGGCUCACCGCCGGGCCGGGGGCUGUGCGGGGUACCGAGCUGCCGAGGCCAAAGCACAGCGAGCGGGGGUGACAGCCCCCACCUGCGCGGGUGUGACCGUGCGGGCUGUCCCACGCGGGCCGGGGCAGCCGGGUCUCUACAAGGGCAAAUGAACUUCAAAAGUCUGGAUUUGUUGUUAUUUUUUUAAUACUAUCAAGCCAAUGCCAUUUAACCCUUCCGUGCUGAAAAUGUCAUAAUAAAUGCCAGAAAGCUAGCAAGGGGAAGAA